GACGAAGGGGGCUAGCGUUGUUCGGAAUUACUGGGCGUAAAGCGCGUGUAGGCUGCAAUGUAAGUCGAACGUGAAAGCCCUCAGCUUAACUGAGGAAGUGCGUUUGAUACUGCAUCGCUUGAGUGUCGGAGGGGAUGGCGGAAUUCCCGGUGUAGAGGUGAAAUUCGUAGAUAUCGGGAGGAACACCUGUGGCGAAGGCGGCCAUCUGGACGACGACUGACGCUGAGACGCGAAAGCGUGGGUAGCAAACAGG
rnacentral:rRNA from 1 species